rnacentral:rRNA from 1 species
UUAAAACUCAAAGAAAUUGACGGGGGCCUGCACAAGCGGUGGAGCAUGUGGUUUAUUCGAAGUAACGCGCAGAACCUUACCAGCGUUUGACAUCCUCAUCGCGGGUUCCAGAGAUGGAUCCCUUCAGUUCGGCUGGAUGAGUGACAGGUGCUGCAUGGCUGUCGUCAGCUCGUGUCGUGAGAUGUUGGGUUAAGUCCCGCAACGAGCGCAACCCUCGUCUUUAGUUGCCAUCAUUUAGUUGGGCACUCUAAAGAAACCGCCGGUGAUAAGCCGGAGGAAGGUGGGGAUGACGUCAAGUCCUCAUGGCCCUUACGCGCUGGGCUACACACGUGCUACAAUGGCGGUGACAGUGGGCAGCAAACCCGCGAGGGUGAGCUAAUCUCCAAAAGCCGUCUCAGUUCGGAUCGUUCUCUGCAACUCGAGAGCGUGAAGGCGGUAUCGCUAGUAGUC